rnacentral:ncRNA from 1 species
GGAUGAGAGAAACACCUCGCCCGGGGGUGACCCCGGGCGGCUCCGGUGCGUGGCCUCCCCAGUCGCGUACCGGCCGUGCGUUCGCGCACACCACCGGAGCCUUCGGCGCCGGGACUCCUCACCGAUCGGA